AGUGAACGCUGGCGGUAGGCCUAACACAUGCGAGUCGAACGGCAGCACAGUAAGAGCUUGCUCUUACGGGUGGCGAGUGGCGGACGGGUGAGGAAUACAUCGGAAUCUACUUUUUCGUGGGGGAUAACGUAGGGAAACUUACGCUAAUACCGCAUACGACCUACGGGUGAAAGCAGGGGAUCUUCGGACCUUGCGCGAUUGAAUGAGCCGAUGUCGGAUUAGCUAGUUGGCGGGGUAAAGGCCCACCAAGGCGACGAUCCGUAGCUGGUCUGAGAGGAUGAUCAGCCACACUGGAACUGAGACACGGUCCAGACUCCUACGGGAGGCAGCAGUGGGGAAUAUUGGACAAUGGGCGCAAGCCUGAUCCAGCCAUACCGCGUGGGUGAGGAAGGCCUUCGGGUUGUAAAGCCCUUUUGUUGGGAAAGAAAAGCAGCAGGUUAAUACCCCGCUGUUCUGACGGUACCCAAAGAAUAAGCACCGGCUAACUUCGUG
rnacentral:rRNA from 1 species